rnacentral:misc_RNA from 1 species
GAUGAAGAACGUAGCGAAAUGCGAUAAGUAGUGUGAAUUGCAGAAUUCAGUGAAUCAUCGAAUCUUUGAACGCACAUUGCGCCCCUUGGUAUUCCAUGGGGCAUGCCUGUUCGAGCGUCAUUUGUAACUUCAAGCUCUGCUUGGUGUUGGGUGUUUGUCUCGCCUCUGCGUGUAGACUCGCCUCAAAACAAUUGGCAGCCGGCGUAUUGAUUUCGGAGCGCAGUACAUCUCGCGCUUUGCACUCAUAACGACGACGUCCAAAAGUACAUUUUUACACUCUUGACCUCGGAUCAGGUAGGGAUACCCGCUGAACUUAAGCAUAUCAAUAAGCGGAGGA